CUUGCUCUACAACGUAACGUAAAAUCCCCACCACCCACCCCCGUUCAUCAAGUAAAAUUGUGUUCUUUACCACCAAUUUUAUUGAUGUGAUAGGUGCAAGCUGAACGAGUGUGGUUGGCAGUUCAAGAUACCACUUGCAGUGGAUCUUUCCGUAAUCCAAGUACCACCGCUCGUUCCCAGGUCACCCGGAACCACAGCUCGUUCCCAGGCCACCUCGG
rnacentral:lncRNA from 1 species